rnacentral:rRNA from 1 species
UACGAGUGCCCCAAGCGUUAUCCGGAAUUAUUGGGCGUAAAGGGUCCGCAGGCGGUUUUAUUAGUCUUGUGUGAAAUCUCCCGGCUUAACUGGGAAGACGCAUAGGAAACGGUAGAACUAGAGGAUGUAAGAGGUAUGUGGAACUCAUGGUGUAGGGGUGAAAUCCGUUGAUAUCAUGGGGAACACCAAAAGCGAAGGCAGCAUACUGGUACAUUCCUGACGCUCAGGGACGAAAGCACGGGUAGCGAAUGGG